AGACCCGAAACCCGGUGAUCUAGCCAUGGGCAGGUUGAAGGUUGGGUAACACUAACUGGAGGACCGAACCGACUAAUGUUGAAAAAUUAGCGGAUGACCUGUGGCUGGGGGUGAAAGGCCAAUCAAACCGGGAGAUAGCUGGUUCUCCCCGAAAGCUAUUUAGGUAGCGCCUCGUGAAUUCAUCUCCGGGGGUAGAGCACUGUUUCGGCCAGGGGGCCAUCCCGGCUUACCAACCCGAUGCAAACUGCGAAUACCGGAGAAUGUUAUCACGGGAGACACACGGCGGGUGCUAACGUCCGUCGUGAAGAGGGAAACAACCCAGACCGCCAGCUAAGGUCCCAAAGUCAUGGUUAAGUGGGAAACGAUGUGGGAAGGCCCAGACAGCCAGGAUGUUGGCUUAGAAGCAGCCAUCAUUUAAAGAAAGCGUAAUAGCUCACUGGUCGAGUCGGCCUGCGCGGAAGAUGUAACGGGGCUAAACCAUGCACCGAAGCUGCGGCAGCGAACGUAUCACUUAAAGCGAUUCAGCGGAUGACGAUUGACGGAGCGAAGCGACGUCAAAGCGUUUUACAACGUCGAGUCGGUUUAAGGAUACGUUCGUUGGGUAGGGGAGCGUUCUGUAAGCCUGCGAAGGUGUGUCGUGAGGCAUGCUGGAGGUAUCAGAAGUGCGAAUGCUGACAUAAGUAACGAUAAUGCGGGUGAAAAACCCGCACGCCGGAAGACCAAGGGUUCCUGUCCAACGUUAAUCGGGGCAGGGUGAGUCGACCCCUAAGGCGAGGCCGAAAGGCGUAGUCGAUGGGAAACAGGUUAAUAUUCCUGUACCUGGUGUUACUGCGAAGGGGGGACGGAGAAGGCUAUGUUGGCCGGGCGACGGUUGUCCCGGUUUAAGCGUGUAGGUGUGUGUUCCAGGAAAAUCCGGUUCACUUUAAC
rnacentral:rRNA from 1 species